UAUACUAGUGAAGGCCCGCGCUUCGCGGCGGGACAUUUAUAUAAUUUUUAAAAUAUUUAAAUAUUUUUUUUUAAUUUUUUAAUUUUUAAAUUUAAUUUUAAAAUUUAAACUUCAAAAAUGAAGAGAGUAAAAUUUAAAAAAAUGUUUAAAUAGAGAGAAAUAAAAAAAAUUAAAAUCUGAAACACCCAAUUAAAAUUAAAAUAAACGCUGUAUGCUAACUAUUAAAUUUAAAAUCUAAAUAUAAAAAUAUAAAAUCUGUAAAUUUAAAUUUUAAAAUCUCUCUCUCUCUCUCCCUCU
rnacentral:lncRNA from 1 species